CAGCAGUAGGGAAUCUUCCACAAUGGGCGAAAGCCUGAUGGAGCAACGCCGCGUGCAGGAUGAAUGCCUUCGGGAUGUAAACUGCUUUUAUAUGUGAAGAUUAUGACGGUAGCAUAUGAAUAAGGAUCGGCUAACUCCGUGCCAGCAGCCGCGGUCAUACGGAGGAUCCAAGCGUUAUCCGGAAUUACUGGGCGUAAAGAGUUGCGUAGGUGGCAUAGUAAGCGGACAGUGAAAUCGCGUGGCUCAACCAUGUAAACAUUGUCUGAACUACUAAGCUAGAGGACGAGAGAGGUACCUGGAAUUCCCAGUGUAGGAGUGAAAUCCGUAGAUAUUGGGAGGAACACCGAUGGCGUAGGCAGGGUACUGGCUUGUUCCUGACACUAAGGCACGAAAGCGUGGGUAGCAAACGGGAUUAGAUACCCCGGUAGUCCACGCCGUAAACUAUGAAUGCUGGCCGUUAUCGGUAUCGACCCAGAUAG
rnacentral:rRNA from 1 species